rnacentral:tRNA from 1 species
UCCCUGGUGGUCCAGUGGUUAGGACUCUGCACUCUGAUUGCUGACGGCCCAGUUUCAAUCCCUGGUCAGGGAA